UCUGUGAUUAAUUGCAGAACUUUAACUAUAUAUAGUAAAUUUGGCCACAGAUUUAUUUAAACCGAAUCUUAACUGAGAUUGGAAGAUAGAAGAAUUAAGAUCUGCAGGUGGGUAUUGCUAUUUUUUCUUCGUGACACUCUAAAUUUUACAUCAUGUAAAUCUAUUUCUGAAAUUCAGCAUAGUGUCAUUAAUAUAUGAUGCUUUUAGCAACUUCCCUUACAGCACAAGGCAGAAUAGUGCAUUCCCUUGAGGAAAUGAAAGGUUUCUGACUUCCAUGGAAAUGUAUACCAGAAGUUUCAUGAUUCUGCAGGGCCAAAAUAAUAUCUAAAAUUAAUCUAAAUUGGAGGGUUAUGAAAGACAAGCAAAUACUACAAAAUUAUAAUAAGACAUGCAAAUUAGGUUCAGAAUUUAAUACUUCUGUAAAGUUUGAUUUUAUCAGUUUAAUAUCAGGAGUACCAAUUUGAUUUUCUAAGAGAAAAAAAGAAUGAUUUAGACAAAAUUGGUUUAAAUUCAAUCUUUUCUAACUGUAUAAUUGCGAUUGGAUUUAAUUUAAUUUUUUAAUAUAUCUCUUGUUUUUUUGCUGCUCAUGGACCAAAUUCAGAUUGUCUCUUGUGUUUGCAAAUAAAUUUUUUGGAUUUCAGUUAUAUUUAUUUAUACACAUAGUGUCUCUGGCUGCUUGUCACCAACUACAGCCUUUUCUAACCAAUCCUGCCCAAAUUAACUUCUUCCUCUGAACUCCAUAGCAUCAGAGCAUGAUUGUAUAUUGUGUUAUGGUACCUGUUUCAUUUAUAUUAUACUGGUAUUUGUUCUUGUUUAUUACUUUAAAUUAUAAUAUCCCUGAGAGUAGCAACUAUAUAUUCUUCCUCACCUUAUCCCUAGCACAGCUAUGAUCAAAGUAGACACUAAAUAAUUAUUCUCUCUCUCUUUGGUAUUAUGGAGCUUGCAGAGUGUAUGAUCAAUUGUCCCUCAUCUUUCAAAGGACCUGGAUCUAGUGUUUUGCACUUAGGUAAAAGUAAUUAUGCUUACUUAGGGAAAAUCACUGUAGUUGGGACAGAUUUACAAAGAUAAAUACAGGAAGCAGACUGCAGUGAAUUGGUUAUCCUGCCUGGGUUAUAAGGAAUUGCAGAAAACAGUUGUGGGGAAAUGAUAGAUCUGUAUUGAAAUCUAAAAUUUAUGUCUCUAAUGCAGACUAACAUAUACAGUUCUCAUUACAUGGGUGAAAGUGAAAAUACUAGAGAAUAUUUUGUAUCCCACAGUGUAUAAAGGAGAGCCAUUGACUUAUAAUGCGACUGUUUGUUGUUGUUGCUAAUACUUAUUGAUUCUCUACAAUGUACUUCAGAGUUUAUUAGAAAAGCACAAAAGAUGCAGUUUUUUUCUUUCAACCCAUAAGAUGGAGCCAAGACAGUCAUCUUAUCCACCUCCCUUCCUGGUUGCUUAGUUUUUUGGUGAUUUAACCUUUAGAAAAAUGACUACAGUGUAUCUAUGCAGCUUAUUGUUAGUACUUUACUUUUCAUUAAUAUUUAAAAUAAGAUUAUUUUAUUGUUAUUGCAAUGCCUUUGUUUUCUGUUUUAGAGACUGUGACAGUUUAGUUGUUAGAAGUAAGUAUAACUUACUAAUGCAAAGACUUGCUAAAGCAUUAGGAUAGAAAUGUGGUAGUUAUUUGAACUAGAUCUGAUAUCAAGAAACAUUUAUUUAGAAGGUUUGAAACAGUAUCAUAGGGUCUUCCCUCCCCCUAGUUGGUUUUCAGAGUACCCAUAAAUGUAAUGAAAAUUAUAUGUUACAAAUGGGUUGAGGGGAAUGUAUAUACAUGUGCCAUAUUUUUUUUAUUACAUUUCUUCAUUAAGAAGAAUAUUUCAGAAUAAUGAAUAAUUUUUAAGUAGACAUGCAACUAGUUUUGAAAAUACAGAAAAUUAUAAAAACAAUUUAUCAUUUUUCCAAAAUAUCAAGCAUUGGUACAACUUAUAUACCUCUGUCUCACAAAUGAUAAAACAUGUUUGAAGAAAAGUAAUUUAUGAUCAUAGCAGUUUCUGAUUGAGCAAUGACUUGAAAAACAUACCAAAAAUAGUAAAGGAAGACUAUACAUGUUUACUUCAUUUUUGAUUGUUGUGUUGGGUUCACACAAGGUUUUAGAUGUGGUAGGGGGCACAUAGGAAAAAUCAUCCUAGAUCACCAGGAAGUUGGAUUUAUUGCUUGGUCCUUGAAAAUAACACUGAAUAAAAUGUACUCAUAACAUUCAUGCAUACCUACCUCACUCACUCCUGAUACCAUUCAAAAGACAAAAGUGUGUUGUUUACUAUAGCAGCACUUAAGUUUUUUCACUAAAAUUACUUCUUAUUACUGAAAGAAUUUCUGUGAGUUUUUAAAAGAUUUCCUGAAAGUCCAAAGGAAGUUUCUACCUACAAAUCUUGUAAGUAUUAAAGAGUAGUAGCACUUUUUGGUUGGAAAAUGUUUAGGUUAAGAGCAGUAUGUCAUUCCCCUUUGUUUAGAAGGCAGAAGACAAUAUGGACUGAAAUAAACUUGUUGUUUCCUUUACAUACUG
rnacentral:lncRNA from 1 species